UACGUAGGGUGCAAGCGUUGUCCGGAUUUACUGGGUGUAAAGGGUGCGCAGGCGGAUCUGUGCGUCGGAGGUUAAAGACCUCGGCUUAACCGAGGAAGUGCCUUCGAAACGGCGGACCUUGAAUGUGAGAGAGGAUGAUAGAAUUCCUGGUGUAGCGGUGAAAUGCGUAGAUAUCAGGAGGAAUACCAGUGGCGAAGGCGGUCAUCUGGCUCAUUAUUGACGCUCAGGCACGAAAGCGUGGGGAGCAAACAGGAUGAGAUACCCUGGUAGUCCACGCCCUAAACGAUGUAUGCUUGGUGUUGGGGGCUUGCCUCCAGUGCCGAAGGAAACCCGAUAAGCAUACCACCUGGGGAGUACGAUCGCAAGGUUGAA
rnacentral:rRNA from 1 species